AUGAACGCUAGCGGCAGGCCUAACACAUGCAAGUCGAGGGGUAACAGGAAAGCUUGCUUUCGCUGACGACCGGCGCACGGGUGCGUAACGCGUAUGCAACCUACCUCAUACUGGAGGAUAGCCCCUGGAAACGGGGAUUAAUACUCCAUAGUAUCACGAAUUCGCAUGUUUUUGUGAUUAAAGUUUUUCGGUAUGAGAUGGGCAUGCGUCCAUUAGCUUGUUGGUGAGGUAACGGCUCACCAAGGCAACGAUGGGUAGGGGCCUGAGAGGGUGGUCCCCCAACUGGUACUGAGACACGGACCAGACUCCUACGGGAGCAGCAGUGAGGAUAUUGG
rnacentral:rRNA from 1 species